UGGGGAAUUUUGGACAAUGGGCGAAAGCCUGAUCCAGCAAUGCCGCGUGUGUGAAGAAGGCCUUCGGGUUGUAAAGCACUUUUGUCCGGAAAGAAAUCCUUGGCUCUAAUACAGUCGGGGGAUGACGGUACCGGAAGAAUAAGCACCGGCUAACUACGUGCCAGCAGCCGCGGUAAUACGUAGGGUGCAAGCGUUAAUCGGAAUUACUGGGCGUAAAGCGUGCGCAGGCGGUUUGCUAAGACCGAUGUGAAAUCCCCGGGCUCAACCUGGGAACUGCAUUGGUGACUGGCAGGCUAGAGUAUGGCAGAGGGGGGUAGAAUUCCACGUGUAGCAGUGAAAUGCGUAGAGAUGUGGAGGAAUACCGAUGGCGAAGGCAGCCCCCUGGGCCAAUACUGACGCUCAUGCACGAAAGCGUGGGGAGCAAACAGGAUUAGAUACCCUGGUAGUCCACGCCCUAAAACGAUGUCAACUAGUUGUUGGGGAUUCAUUUCCUUAGUAACGUAGCUAACGCGUGAAGUUGACCGCCUGGGGAAGUAC
rnacentral:rRNA from 1 species